AACCCACACCCACCCACCCAUCCGCCAUGAUCUGAAAAUUUACGAAUCUCUCUCGGCGCGAUCCGAAAAUCCCCCAAAGUCCUCGCGCUUCCAGACCCAACCGCCGGUUUGAAAAUUUUCCGAACCCGAUCGGAUCUAGCCGCCUCGCCCCCAGCCCGCCGCGAGCGCGCCGCUGCCCCACGGAUCCGCCUCCCCUCCUCGCCGGCGUCGACCGAUGGCGGUGCUCGGGCGGCCCACGAAGCGGGCGCGGCGCGGGCGGGUGCUGGCGGAGCCCUGCCUCCUCGACCUGCGGGCGUUCCCCGGCCGGAAGGAGCGGGCCGGCGCCGCGUCGUUCCGCGCCAGCGUGCGGGGGUUCCUGUCCCGGCACGCGUCGCCGGCGCCGCCGCCCGCGGAGUGGGAGCAGGGCGGCGUGCUGGGCGACGCCGGCGCGGUGUGGCAGGUAGGUUUCCGUGUAGGCGAGGAGGGCGAGGCCUCGGUCGUGGCCAUGGAUGUGGUCGAGGAGGACGUGCCCAGGGCCAGGCGCGUCCACUGUGACCACUGUACGGUUGCUGGCUGGAGCAGGCACCCAGUUUGUGGGAAGAAGUUUCACUUCAUAAUUCGGAAUGACAAAACGGCCAGCUGCAAAACCUGCCGGCGUUGUGGCCUGAUGGUUCAAUUGUUUGAGACAAGGUGCCCGGCGUGCAGUCACGGUUCUGCGUUACCCCAUGAUGGAUCUGAAGAUUGGGACUAUGCCCAGAUUGACGAUCCGCGGCAUUUGCUACAUGGCAUAGUACAUGAAAAUGGGUUUGGCCAUCUUGUACGAAUUAACGGCCAUGAAGGUGGCUCCAGCCUCUUGACAGGAUACCAACUGAUGGACUUUUGGGAUCGUCUUUGCACAUACCUAAGAGUCAGAAAGGUUUCAGUGUUGGAUGUCUCGAAGAAGUUUGAAGUUGACUACCGAGUUCUACAUGCCAUUGCCACUGGCUGUUCUUGGUACGGGCAGUGGGGAUUCAAACUUGGAAGUGGGAGCUUCGGAAUUACAUCUGAAACCUACAGCAAAGCCACUGAAAACCUCUCCUCAGUAUCACUCUCUCACUUCUUUCCGCCCUCCCGAUAUCCUCGAAACCAACUGCAGGAUACCAUUGCAUUCUAUCAAUCGCUCUCAAAGCGCCCUCUCACAACAUUCCGUAAUCUGUUCCUCUAUGUCUUGGGGCUUGCUGCUGGCAAGAGUGUGCAUACCCACCUUGUGACAAUGCACAAGAGGGAGCUAGCAUAUGAUGCCAAUUUCAAAGACGAAAACUGGGCUGAUGAGAAAAUAAAGCAAGCGAUGGAUGUUGCGCUGAAAGUUCUCCGUGCUGCAGAUAGGUGGGUGGCUAUGCGAACCCUAAAGGCAGCUACAGCUCAUCCAAUUGGUUCACCACAGCUGGUCGAUUACUGCCUCAAGACCAUUGGUGGUACAAGAACCUAUGAUGGGAUGGUUGUUGUAGUUCGAUGCAACAGUGAGACAAACACAAUAGAGUAUAGGCUCACAAAUGAAAUCUUGCCGCCAAAGAAUGCGAGCAUGCCAACUCGGGAACACCUUUUCCGUGACAUCAAGUUCCUCUAUGAUACGCUCCUCAACCCUCAUACAAUGCAACCUUAUAAGCCAGAACAUAUUCAUGAACAUGCCAACAGAUCUGCGAUGGUCCUUUUGGACUGCAAACAAUUCAUCAAGCAUUAUGACAUGGAAGAGGAUUUCUUACCUCAAAACCAAUCUGUGCUGCACAUCUGGUGCCAAGUGGAGCUAUUGGAUCAGGUUGGUGAUCCACCCAGCCUCCCAGCAGAACUUUUAACACUUCCGCAAACAGCUACUGUUGCUGAUCUGAAGAUGGAGGCUGCGAGAACAUUCCAAAGUAUCUACUUGAUGCUACAAAGCUUUGUAGCAAACCAGCUUCUUGAUUGUCCAACUGCAGAGGACACAACUCAAGUCAAGCUCUUAUUUGGAGCAAAAGGGACUGUCAGCAUCCAAGGCAAGUGUGUUGGAGGUGAGCGCAGGGUUGCAAUUUAUCGGAUGGAGAGGGGUGUAGAAAAAUGGACAGUUAAUUGUUCAUGUGGAGCGAAGGAUGAUGAUGGUGAGAGGAUGCUAUCUUGUGACUCAUGCCAUGUGUGGCAGCACACUAGGUGUGUUGGAAUUAGUGAUUUUGUUCAGGUGCCGAAGAGAUUUGUGUGUGCAUCUUGUAAAUUACUCCACAAGUCUAAGAUGUAUAGUAGUUUCCCUAACAAAAGAUGUAAGACUGGCUCUUUUAGUCAUGCCAGUAGUGGGUUGUGGAGGCCCAACAUCAGUUAACAUGUACAUAUCGACAACAAUGAGUUCCUAAUAUGACAGAUGCAAGUUUUGCAUG
rnacentral:rRNA from 1 species